AGUGCUGAAAGCAUCUAAGCACGAAACUUGCCCCGAGAUGAGUUCUCCCUGAGACUAUAAGUCUCCUGAAGGAACGUUGAAGACGACGACGUUGAUAGGUCGGGUGUGUAAGCGUAGCGAUACGUUGAGCUAACCGGUACUAAUGAACCGUGAGGCUUAACCUUACAACGCCGAAG
rnacentral:rRNA from 1 species